GAUGAACGCUGGCGGCGUGCCUAAUACAUGCAAGUCGAGCGAAUGGAUUAAGAGCUUGCUCUUAUGAAGUUAGCGGCGGACGGGUGAGUAACACGUGGGUAACCUGCCCAUAAGACUGGGAUAACUCCGGGAAACCGGGGCUAAUACCGGAUAACAUUUUGAACCGCAUGGUUCGAAAUUGAAAGGCGGCUUCGGCUGUCAAUUAUGGAUGGACCCGCGUCGCAUUAGCUAGUUGGUGAGGUAACGGCUCACCAAGGCAACGAUGCGUAGCCGACCCGAGAGGGUGAUCGGCCACACUGGGACUGAGACACGGCCCAGACUCCUACGGGAGGCAGCAGUAGGGAAUCUUCCGCAAUGGACGAAAGUCUGACGGAGCAACGCCGCGUGAGUGAUGAAGGCUUUCGGGUCGUAAGACUCUGUUGUUAGGGAAGAACAAGUGCUAGUUGAAUAAGCUGGCACCUUGACGGUACCUAACCAGAAAGCCACGGCUAACUACGUGCCAGCCGCCGCGGUAA
rnacentral:rRNA from 1 species